rnacentral:rRNA from 1 species
AACGAACGCUGGCGGCAGGCUUAACACAUGCAAGUCGAGCGCCCCGCAAGGGGAGCGGCAGACGGGUGAGUAACGCGUGGGAAUCUACCCAUCUCUACGGAAUAACGCAUGGAAACGGGUGCUAAUACCGUAACCGUCCUUCGGGAGAAAGAUUCAUCGGAGAUGGAUGAGCCCGCGUUGGAUUAGCUAGUUGGUGGGGUAAAGGCCUACCAAGGGGACGAUCCAUAGCUGGUCUGAGAGGAUGAACAGCCACACUGGGACUGAGACACGGCCCAGACUCCUACGGGAGGCAGCAGUGGGGAAUAUUGGAGAAUGGGCGCAAGCCUGAUCCAGCCGUGCCGCGUGAGUGAUGAAGGCCCUAGGGUUGUAAAGCUCUUUCACCGGUGAAGAUGAUGACGGUAACCGGAGAAGAAGCCCCGGCUAACUUCGUGCCAGCCGCCGCUGUAAGAC